GUCCAUGCUGUAAACGAUGAAGACUGGCUGUUGGUUGCCCUUGGGCAAUUAGUAGCGAAGCUAACGCGUUAAGUCUUCCGCCUGGGGAGUACGGCCGCAAGGUUAAAACUCAAAGGAAUUGACGGGGGCCCGCACAAGCGGUGGAACAUGUGGUUUAAUUCGACGCAACGCGAAGAACCUUACCUACCCUUGACAUGCUCGGAAUCUGGCAGAGAUGUUGGAGUGCCUUCGGGAGCCGAGACACAGGUGCUGCAUGGCUGUCGU
rnacentral:rRNA from 1 species